rnacentral:lncRNA from 1 species
CGGCGCCCCUCACGUCUCCACGCGGGAAAGUUGCUUCCUGACUCUGAGCUCUCCCCCGGCUCGGGCAGCCGAGUGCAGUGAUCAUUCCCGAUCCCAAAAGCGUCUCUACGCCCCUUGGGGAGUGCGAAGAGUGCAGCGUCCUUGGAAGCCAGCUUUGAGCAAGGCACCUGACCUUCCAGGACUUGAGGAGGCGCCUCAGAGAAACCCUGCCUCACUGUCUGCUCGCGUCUCAGAUUAAAAUCGCCCUUGCUCUCCAUUUCUACCACUUUGAGGGUCUGGAUUCUGUCUGCACAGGAACACAACAAAGAACCUACCCCUUCCAGGUCAUUUUCCUUCCAUCUUAAAUCCCACAUAAUAAUGACGCUGCAUCGGUUGGCCUCUAAACAGACCCUGGUCAUUUCAGCCGAGCUCAAUCACCAGAGGAAUAGCCAGGCCACACUGAGAAUGGAUUUUUUUCCCCUUUAACUACAUGGGAAGGCAAUAACUGUAGCUGUUGAGAACAUGAAAGCUGUAACUAUACCGUGUUUGAAUCCUUGUUCUGUUACUUCUUAGUUUUUGACUUUGGGCAAGCUGUUUGCCUAGGUUCCUUAUCUACCCAAGGAGGGUAAUAAUAAUAAUUACUUUCAGGAGUUGCAUGAGGAUGAAAUCUAUUCAAACAUAUAAAUUAGGGCAGUACCUGGUAUAUAAUAAGUGUUCUUCAAGUGUUCCCCAUUUUAUUUGCAUGGAAAUGAUCAACUCUUAGAUUUCCCAAAAAAGAAACAUAUAAAUCUUACCACUUAGAGCUCAGACAAUGAGCAGACCCCUUGAUCCCCGGGUUAUGAGGGAGUGUGCCCCGGAGGUGUGGAGCCCAGC